AUUCCUUUAGUAUAAAAAGUAUAUUUAACUUCCAAUUAAAAGGUUUAAUAAUUAAAAGGAAUA
rnacentral:tRNA from 1 species